rfam:Listeria innocua Clip11262 complete genome, segment 11/12
AGUUUUGCCUGUUAGGUGAGGCUCCUAUGCAAACACAGGCCACUGCCCAAAAAUGUCCAAAGACGCCAAUGGGUAGAACAGGGAUUGUCGGAUUAAGGCUUUCCAUAAUGUGGCUAAGAGUAAUUCUUUACGUUGUAUAGUGCCAAAACUUUAGCGAGGGGAGUCUGU